AAAUAGGUGAUUUUAAAACUAAAGCAUUCGUUUUGUAGACGUAAAUAAAAAGAAGAUAAAAAGGUGUCCAUUAGAAUAAAAAAUCUAAUAUGAAGAAAUAUAGCCUCAAAAUAGCACUUUAUGAAUUAGCAACCAGCGACAUUGAACAGAAUUACCAUACGCGUACCAAGAAUUCAAAAUAUUCUCGAUAAUGUUCGGAAUUUAACAUUUUAAUAUUUCAAUGACCAACUUGGUAUUGGUACCACCGAUUUACAUUAUGUGAAAGUGAAACACAGUUUUAAUCAAUAAUGGCGUAAUAUAGAACUAUUAAAUGAUUUCAAAAAGUUUA